ensembl:lncRNA
CACCGCCGUUGGGGGCUGGGGACACUAGCACCCGGCAGGCGGGGACCAGGGCUACUGCUGCUCACCCUGCAGAGCGCAGUCCCCCACAGCAGAGGGUGCCUGUCCCCGAGUGUCAGUAGCACCCUGCCGAGGAGCAAAAGCCUCCUUGCUGAGGCGCAGGUUCUCUGAAGAGGCGCCCACCCCGCGACGGCUUCUCCCUCCGCCGCUCUGCCACCCUCGAAAUACCCACUCCCCUCCCUUGAGUAGAGCUGUGCAGAGGUGGCUCCGGGACAGAAGCACUGGGACCACAGGCUGAGGGCUGGAAGGGGUGUGAUGGAGAAGGAAACACACAGAAAUGUUUCCUGAGGCCUGCCUCACGCACGUCUCUCAGCCACCUUCUGUACCUCAGUUUAAUCUGCUACCCAUCGAUGGAUUGACUGUCAUCAGGACAACCCUGCCAACAGCGUUUAUACUGGUCAACCUUCGGAGGGAAGGAGGAGGAAACAGGCUUCUCUUCAAAGGAGCGCAGGAGGAUUUGCGGUGGCAGAUGGCUCCAGAUCCUCCACUCUGGCAAACAGCAUCUCUAAUAACAUCUGUGCAGGAAGAAUGUUCUCGUCUUCUUACCACGGACCGGGCGGACAGCAGUUUCGAGAUGUUUAUUUAGUUGUACCUUUUUCACAUUUCUCCCACAUUUUGCCUGAUGAAAUAUUUCAAGUCUCAUUUCAAAGCUCUCACCUGGGCAAAGGGAGGACCUCGGCUGCUGGGUACAGAGCAACUGGCUCUAACCAUGGCACAAUGAUCCCCUCCCACGUCCCGGCUCCCCCGACGUGACGCCCUUGAUGUCAUGUUCAUGAUCUUCUUUCUCUCUGACAUCAAGUCCAUGAGCUCCCUUCUUAAAAAAAAAAAACAGCACUCACAUUUUAUCAAGGAAGAAAUGGGCUCAGCGCCUUGGCCAAGUUUACGCAGCAAGUGGCAGAGCCACGGUUCAGCGUCUGGUGUGUUGGACUCCACAUCCUGCAUUCUUCAGCGCCGCAGUAUAUGAGCCUCUGGCGCAAUGGAAGUAGUCACAGAAGGGGAACUUUGAACAAACUUCCCUACUCAGCCAUCGCAUAUAUAUUGAGCGGCCGCCACGUACCAGGCACUGUGUGAGCAGGGAGCUGGAUCUAGCAAAGCCCUGGCUCUCGGGGCCUUCCACACUGGUUAAGGAGACAGUCAAGAAGCAAGAGACAGGAUGUGCUCUAUGAAAAAGAAUAAAACGGAGCGAGGAGAUGGCGGGGCCGGGCA